GAUGAACGCUGGCGGCGUGCCUAAUACAUGCAAGUCGAGCGAACGGACGAGAGGCUUGCUUCUCUGAUGUUAGCGGCGGACGGGUGAGUAACACGUGGAUAACCUACCUAUAAGACUGGGAUAACUUCGGGAAACCGGAACUAAUACCGGAUGAUAUUUUGAACCGCAUGGUUCAAAAGUGAAAGACGGUCUUGCUGUCACUUAUAGAUGGAUCCGCGCUGCAUUAGCUAGUUGGUAAGGUAACGGCUUACCAAGGCAACGAUGCAUAGCCGACCUGAGAGGGUGAUCGGCCACACUGGAACUGAGACACGGUCCAGACUCCUACGGGAGGCAGCAGUAGGGAAUCUUCCGCAAUGGGCGAAAGCCUGACGGAGCAACGCCGCGUGAGUGAUGAAGGUCUUCGGAUCGUAAAACUCUGUUAUUAGGGAAGAACAUAUGUGUAAGUAACUGUGCACAUCUUGACGGUACCUAAUCAGAAAGCCACGGCUAACUACGUG
rnacentral:rRNA from 1 species